GUGUAACUUCCCCAUGGGGUGUCAUCAGCCAGCCUGGCUAAUGUCAAUUUUGUGCAAAAUUAAUUGCACAGAAUGUCAUUCAUUGGCUAAAAGAGGUCAGCUGACACUCAGACAAUGAAUGGCAAUGGCAUCGCCCUCUGCGUUCUGUAGCUCUGCAUAAGCCUGAAGUGCAACACCAAGCCAGCAGGCGGCAUCAGAGCCCACUGGGAACCCAGGUAAGAGGGCAAACAGUUGUUAAACGGCAGGCUGUACUGGUU